GGUAUAUAGCUCAAUUGGUAGAGUGCUUGCCUCACAUGCACAAGGCCUUGGAUUCAAUCCCCAACACCA
rnacentral:tRNA from 1 species